rnacentral:lncRNA from 1 species
AUGAAUGCAGUACAUAUCUGCAAACAGAGCUGACUGUUUUACUGAACAUGCCAGUAGUUUUUCUGUCCGUGUUCUUGAAAAAAAAUAUCCUUGACUCAAUAUAUCCAGAUCAACUCCCUGCCUUAGGCUUUGCCUGCUGGCUGUGGUGGGCCAACUUCGUUGCUUCCACUAUGUCAGCUAUUGCUGGUAAAAAAAGGUAAAGGUUUCCCUUGACAUUAAGUCCAGUCAUGUCUGACUCUGUGGGUUGGUGCUCAUUUCCAUUUCUAAGCCGAAGAGACGAUGUUGUCCGUAGACACCUCCAAGGUCAUGUGGCUGGCAUGACUGCAUGGAGCGCCGUUACCUUCCUGCCGGAGCGGUACCUAUUGAUCUACUCACAUUUGCAUGUUUCUGAACUGCUAGGUUGGCAGGAGCUGGGGCUAACAGCAGGCGCUCAUUCCGCUCCCGGGAUUUGAACCUGGGACCUUUUGGUCCGCUUUUGGUGGUAUUGCAAUGUAAACUAGUAGAAAGGUAGGUAAUAAUAAUAUGAAUAAUCAAAAUGGGGUUGAAAUAGUGCUUGCAGUUCUGGAGGGCCUCUAAUUUUUGCUUCUCAUCGACUUGGCAUGGGGAUUUGGUUAAGCAGUUAUUUAUUUAUCCUGUCAGAAGAGAUCAAGGGUACAACCGUAAUGUAUUUAAAGAAACAAAAUUAAGAAACUUGGCAUUAUACUCAAUGUUCUUUGACCAGUAGUUGGACACUCGGGAGUGCCUCUGAUGCUGUAAGAAGGUCCUCCAUUGUGCAUAGGGCAGGAGUCAGGCUGCAUUGUAUAAGUAGUCUGUGGUUUGCUCUUCUUCACACUGGCAUGUGUGGAUUCCACUUUGCAGCCUCAUUCCUUAAGGCUGGCUCUCGUCUCGGGGCGCCAGAGCGCAGUCUGUUCAGCGCCUUCCAAGUCGCUCAGUCUUCUGUGUGCUCAGGUCGAACAGUGAAAAUUCAUGAAAGUUGGCGGUGCGAGUGGGGAGCGCAGGAGCCAGCAGCAGCACUAGUGGCGCCGGAGCAGCAGCAGGCGGAGGAGAAGGAAGAGGAGGAAGCGGUCCCAACUCCCUUGGUCCCCCGAGCCUGGCCCUUUCGCUGCUGCCGGCGAAGGGUCCCGUCGCCAUGGUGACCGCCCACCUGCACGGCAGCCGAGGCUGCAACGCCGAGCCCCCGCAAAGCGCGCCCCUCAACCUGCAGGCCAAGCUGGGCUGCAGCAGCACGCGCCGCGCGGCCCUCGAGACAAGCGCCCGCCCCAGGUAAGCGCGCGGGGGGGGGGGGGGGUCCACGGAAGAGAGGCUGCUGCACGAGACAGGAGCCUUUCCCGCCUUAAGCCCUCUCAGGUGGACUUAAAGGUCGCCCAAAUCUCACAACGCCUGCCUCUUGAACCUUCGCUUUUUGUGCUUUGGAAUGUCUUGGAAAGCUCUCUAGGGGGCCUUCUACACAGCCCUAAAAGGUAAAGUUUUUCUCCUGACGUUAAGUCCAGUCGUGACCGACUCUGGGGGGUUGGUGCUCGUCUCCAUUUCUAAGCCGAACAGCCGGCGUUGUCCAUAGACACCUCCAAGGUCAUGUGGCCGGCAUGACUGCAUGGAGCGCCUUCUACACAGCCCUAUAUCCCAGAAUAUCAGGGCAGAAAAUCCCACAAUAUCUACUUUGAACUGGGUUGAGUCCACACUCUGAUAAUGUAGGUUUUUCUGCCUUGAUAUUCUGGGAUAUAGGGUUGUGUGGAAGGGCCCUAGGAGGAAUAUGUUUGGGAUAUCUCAACAACUGCCUCCUAUGUCAACCCCAAGCCCUACUUCCCCGUUCGCUGCCUUAACCUGAGUCUGGGGACCCUUCCAGACAGGCCCUAUAUCCCAGGACAUGAUCCCAUGUUUUCUUCUUUAAACAAUUAUAUGAGUCAGCACUGCCAGAUAAUCUGGGAUAAACAGAACUUCUAGAAUCAGAUCCCGGGACAUAGGGCCUGUCUGGAAGGGCCCUAGAUCUCAGGCCCCUUCCACACAGCCAUAUAACCCAGAAUAUUAAGGCAGAACAUCUCACAAUAUCUGCUUUGAAAUGGGUUAUCAGAGUCCACACUGCCAUAUAUCCCAGUUCAAAGCAGAACAGGUGGGAUUUUAUUUAGCUGUGUUGAAAGCGAGGAUGCCCUCUUCCAUCCUCUCCCCCCCCCCCCUGACUUUUUAUCCGGUUGCUUUAAACAAGCAAAGUGUGGACAAACUAUGGGUUUGUCUCUGUGUAUAAAGUAAGAUGAACCUACUCCUUUAAAAAAAAAUCCCCCACAAUGUAUAGUAAGGAGGUGGGUGAAGGGAUAAGGUAGGAUUUAUUCAUGCUAUUGUUAAUAAUUUAAUAGAUUAGUUUCAGAGAUUUUAACAAAUGUCUGAUAAAUCAUCAAAAAAAGGAGGGCAGGUAAGGAACCUUUUAAAACAUUAUAUUAAAACAUCAUAUAUGUUGUUGGCCACCCUGAGUCCCCACUGGGGUGAUAGGGUGGGAUACAAAUAAAGAUAAUGAUGAUGAUGAUUAUAGUGAAUUACAUUCCAUUUUUGGUCUCUAUUGCCCUAAAAUUCAUUGUUUACGCUACUAAAAAUUUUGCAAAGUCUACACUCCCUAUUGGUGAAUACAGGACUCUCCAAAAGCAGAUGAAAUAAAAAGGGAAUCCCCAUUGAUUAUGGCUAACAGAGAAUUUUGGGACUGAGUGGAAGAGAAGGGGAGUGGGGAAUUGUUUGGUAAUAUAAGAUCAAGAAGAAUGUUAUGUAAACUUUGAGAAUUGACAGUAAUGAAGAACUGGAGUACCAGUUAGUGUUUUGUAUUUAGUUCAGAGAGCAGGUCUGAGCUGCCAUUCCUGGAGUUUGUUUCCAAAAAAGGUAUCAAAUCUUCAAACAUUGGAAAAUGAAUUAUAGGUGGCAGCACAUUAUUGUCUCUGUGUAGGACAUCAUCUACAGAUCAGAACUACCGAAAUGUAUCAGAUCACUCUAGUACAGGGCUUGGGAAAUUGCACUUUAGAGCACUCAGCACAUUUUUUAACAUUUGCUCAGAUUGAUUUGCUGCUUUUUGGAAACAAGUUCCACAUUCAUUUGCCAUAUUUAUGUUUAGGGAAGGGGCUUGGGUAAAUUUUGUCAUUCUGUGGGAAAAUGGAGAUAUGGUAAACAGAUAUUUUUGGCAUGGGAUAGGCUGAAGAUGAAAAUACCAAUUUAGGAAAGUGAAGUAAGAGAAGUAGGGGACAAUGUGUCUUCCAUUGCAGUGUGUUAAGGUGGAAGGAAAGGAAGAUGCAGGGGAGAGAUAUUAGAACAAGUGAGGUGCAUAGUGAUGGUGUGUUGUUUUUAACCUUUUUGAAUAAAGAAAAACAAUUAUUACAUUUUUAGAUAUGGGUUUUCAAGAUUGUUGGUAUAAGAUCCUGGCAGGCUUGGCAUUAGCUACCUAAUCUUAUCUUAUCCUCAUUUUAAAUGAUCUCAGGAAAUUUGAAGAAUUGGGUACAAACAUCCAACCUCCAAGAAUCUCAAAACAGCAACGAGGUUUCUGUACAUAAAUACAGGAUUCAAAGUGCCCAAGCAAUGCUUGUUAAAUUAUCAUAAGUCAGACUGGCUGGGAACCAGGACUAUUUUUUACAGUUGUCUGGGAAGUAGAGCAGGAGUCUUUUGCCACUGUCUUGUGUGCUUAUUUACCUCUCCCCAUGUCAUUCAAAAGCAGUGUAAAUUGAGGAAAAUACAUUAAGUGAAGUAUUAAUAUGCAUUAUUUAUAGAAGCUGGAGAAUUCAAAUCAUCUUUGUACCAUAUCUGGGUUUAUGUCUCUUAAUGUUCUUUUUUUCUUAAUAUUACAGCCUCUGCUGAUGCAGCUACACUGUAGAAUUAAUGCAAUUUGACAUCACUUUAACAUGGCUCAAUGUUGUAGAAAUUUGGGAGUUUUUAACCUUCUCUGCUAAAGAGUGCUAGUGCUUCACCAAACUACAAAACUUAGGGUUCUGUGGCAGUUAAAGUGGUAUCAGAUUGCAUCAGUUCUACAGUGUAGUAGAGCCAGGCUUGGAUGAAACCAUUUGGUCUACCAUUUUUGUUUACUUUUCUAUUUCCUGCCUGUUAAUAAACCUGAAAAGGGAAUAUAUGUAGUUCAAAUCAAGUUAUAUUCUACAAUGUUUCUAGGGACAUUGGUGAAAAUAAUUUUAGUUAUGUAAAGGACAUUUGAACAUCUAGCUAGCUCUGUUGCUUUUUGUGAUAUUUUUUUAAAAUAACAGGCUCUACUGUUGAUAAUCGCCAUGCUCUAAUAGUCUGUUUUUAACCAGGCAAUAAAAUGAAUGCUUAUUUUUCAGUGCAAACCUAAAGGCAAUUAUCAUAUUUUCUUACUUGAGAAAUGUAUGUUGCAGCAGAGUGCAGUGAGGAAUCAUGACCACUAUUCUCCCCCAUUACCCAUCUCACCAUCUUCUGAAUUUAUGUUACUAAUAGCUUAAGUAUCCAGUGUUACCUGGGUUAGGUAUUUUGUAGUGCUAUUUAUUAGAAACAGUUUUUGUUUCAUUUUGGAUUUUAAAAUUGUAGAGUUGAUAGGGUGGAAUUACUAUCAGCCCAAAUCUUGGUUAGGCUGUAACUCUCAUUAGGUUCAAAUCUGGCCAGCUCUAACUCAAAUUACACCCAGAUCUGAUGAAGUGCAAUUCCCAUCAGCCCCAGAUCUGUCCGGUGUUGAACUCCCAUUAGCAGUAAAUCUGGGUGGCUGGAAGUUAAGGGUCUGCUCCUAAUUAGUUAUAGCCUUCUUGUUGGGAUGUCUCAUCAUCCCCUGUAUUUGUAGUGAAGGGGUAAGGAUAUUGGAAGAUGCAGGCUGGUAAGCAGGGUAAGUCAUGUGUGAUUGGUUAGGAGAAGAGGAUGGUUGUGAUGGGACUUCCCUAGCUCUCUGGAUAUGGAUGAAAUACAACUAUCAUUGUAUGUCAGUCCACCCCCCAAACCCUGCCAGUAUUUUAAGUCGGCCAUGAUGUGUGCCAGGUUUGGUACAGAUCCAUUGUUGGUGGGAUUCAAAUGGUGCUUUGGAUGUGAAUGGACUACAUCUUCCAUCAUCCUCUGUCAUUCCCCCAAACCCUGCCAAUAUUUUAAGUUGGUUGUGAUUGAUAUGCAUGUCAAGUUUGGUCCAGAUCCAUUGUUGCUGGGAUUCAUAUGGCUCUCGAAAUAUGGAUGAUUAUGACUCCCAUUUUCCUCUGCCAUUCCCCCUU